rfam:Drosophila grimshawi strain TSC#15287-2541.00 scaffold_15203 genomic scaffold, whole genome shotgun sequence.
UGGCGCGUCAAAUUGACUGUGAGCUAUGUUGUUGCAGUUGUAAUUCAUAUCACAGCCAUUUUGACGAGUUUGA